GGAAAAUAUCUCUUUUACUAUUUGUCCAGUAGGUUUCCUUUAAAAGGAAGCCCAU
rnacentral:snRNA from 8 species